CCUACGGGAGGCAGCAGUUGGGAAUAUUGGACAAUGGGGGAAACCCUUAUCCAGCGACGCCGCGUGAGUGAAGAAGUAUUUCGGUACGUAAAGCUCUAUCAGCAGGAAAGAAAAUGACGGUACCUGACUAAGAAUCCCCGGCUAACUACGUGCCAGCACCCGCGGUAAUACUCAGGGGACAAGCGUUAUCCGGAUGUACUGGGGGUAAAGGGAGCGUAGACGGCAGCGCAAGUCUGGCGUGAAAUGCCGGGGCCGAACCCCGGAACUGCUUUGGAAACUGUGAAGAGUGAGUGCAGGAGAGGUAAGCGGAAUUGCUGGUGUAGCGGUGAAAUGCGUAGAUAUUAGGAGGAACACCGGCGGCGAAGGCGGCUUACUGGACUGGAACUGACGUUGAGGCUAGAAGGCGUGGGGAGCAAACAGGAUUAGAUACCCCAGUAGUC
rnacentral:rRNA from 1 species